GGCAGAUAGAUUAAUUGUUUAAAAGUGAUUCUAUUUGUUUCUAGCUGGGAGGAAUACUUUUCCUGUGGGCAAGGAAUGUUUUAUAUUUGGUUAUAGUGUCAUAGUUGCCUACUGUAAUUGUGCUGAGAGACAGGUACUGUAAAUAUGACUUUUACUAGAUGUUUGACUUCUGCCUUUUCCAGGUCUUUGGUUCUGGCUGAACCUCCAGUAUUUGUGUUGUGGUUGGUCUGACUUAAGACCAUGACAGGAGGACUGUUCCCCUUGGCAGCAGGGCCUGUGAGAGGCCUGGGGGGCUCCAGGAGUUCAGUGAGCUGUGUCACUCUGAUCUUUUUCAUACUGGAUUCUGUGGUUUGACUCAGCAAAGAUGGUGCAGGAAAGAGAAAGGGCU
rnacentral:lncRNA from 1 species